rnacentral:rRNA from 1 species
AUGAACGCUGGCGGCAUGCCUUACACAUGCAAGUCGAACGGCAGCACGGGAGCAAUCCUGGUGGCGAGUGGCGAACGGGUGAGUAAUAUAUCGGAACGUGCCCAGUCGUGGGGGAUAACGUAGCGAAAGCUACGCUAAUACCGCAUACGAUCUAUGGAUGAAAGAGGGGGAUCGCAAGACCUCGCGCGAUUGGAGCGGCCGAUAUCAGAUUAGGUAGUUGGUGAGGUAAAGGCUCACCAAGCCAACGAUCUGUAGCUGGUCUGAGAGGACGACCAGCCACACUGGAACUGAGACACGGUCCAGACUCCUACGGGAGGCAGCAGUGGGGAAUUUUGGACAAUGGACGCAAGUCUGAUCCAGCCAUUCCGCGUGCAGGAUGAAGGCCCUCGGGUUGUAAACUGCUUUGUACGGAACGAAAGGUUUGUCUUAAUACGAUGAGCUCAUGACGGUACCGUAAGAAUAAGCACCGGCUAACUACGUG